GAGUUUUUGUUAAUAGAAUACAUAAUCAUAAAAGGAGAUAACUCUUGUCCUUGUAUUCUACUAUUUGUCGCCUUAUCAACAAGUCUUUCAUCUACAUAGCUACAAGACCAACCUACAAUGGUGAAGUUCUUUCUGUUAUGUUUAUUCCUUACGACAAUAUUGUGUUCGUGGGCUGACUCAAGCCCUGAAGUAGCAGUAUUGCAGGGUAAGGUCCUAGGAAAAUACAUCGAAACUAUUUCGGGGCGAAAAAUAGCAGCUUUCUUGGGGAUACCGUAUGCAGAACCGCCUGUUGGAAAUCUAAGAUUCAGAGAACCAGUUCCAUCAAAACCAUGGCCAGGAUUGCUCAAUGCAACAAGUGUACCCAACGACUGCCUUCAGUACAGUCAUUAUUACUACAAAAUGGAUGAUCCCGUUUACGGAUCAGAAGAUUGUCUGUACCUGAAUGUUUAUGUCCCAGAGAGUCCAAAUGUACAUAAAACUAAUUCUCUGCCCGUCCUCAUUAACAUACAUAGCGGAGCAUUUAUGUUUUUAUCUGGGUCGACAAGUGGACCUGAGUAUUUGUUGGAUCACAAUGUUAUUUUAGUCACUAUGAACUACAGGCUUGGCAUUUUAGGAUUUUUAAGCACUGAAGAUGACAUCCUACCUGGUAAUAAUGGUCUUAAAGAUCAGAAUCUUGCCCUGAAAUGGGUUUACGAUAAUAUAAAAGCAUUUGGAGGAGACCCUGGCGAAAUUACCUUGUCCGGAUUGUCUGCAGGAGCUGCUAGUACCCAUUAUCAUAUUCUUUCUUCAAGGAGCAAAGGUUUGUUCAAACGUGCUAUAAUCCUUAGCGGAUCAGCACUUUGCCACUGGGCGCAGACCGAAAAUUCAAAAGGCAAAGCUGAAACGAUUGCAAAUGAAAUGGGAUGCCCUGUAUAUGACACAGAAAAAAUGGUCGAUUGCCUGAGGAACCGGCCUGGCAAACAAAUUGUCCAACUGACAAAAUUAUUCAUGCCGUGGCUUUACAAUCCAUUUACACCAUUUGGACCAGUGAUCGAACAUAACAGGAAUAACGCAUUCAUUGACAAACUUCCCUCUUAUCUGAUUCGUAACAAAAUGGUCAAUGAUGUACCCAUUUUGUUUUCACUCACUGAAGACGAAGGACUUUAUCCAGGAGCUGAGAUUUUAGCUUAUCCAAAAGAAGUGGAAUAUUUAAAUGACAACUGGGAGACAGUGCUUCCACAUCUUCUUGAUUUCAAUUUUACUACCCACAUUAAUAAACAGUCGGCAGUUAGCAAAAUUAUUAGAAACGAAUAUUUUGGAGCUUACCGAGUGCAAGAUAAGAAAAAAGCACUUAUUGAGAUGAUUGGGGAUAGAGUGUUUAAAGUGCCUGUAUCGUUAACUGCCUUGUAUCACGCAAAAUAUCUUUCUUCUGAUGUUUACACAAUCCAGUUUUCAUAUUUGGGCAAAACUGGCCUGCAAGAACGCUUCAAUUUAUCGAGGGAUGUCUAUUCAGAGCUGAAGAUGUGAAUUUUGACCAUAUCAAAGAGUCAUUGGAAAUGUCAAAAAGAAUGGUCAAUUUGUGGAUGACCUUUAUUACUGGGAAACCUUUUAAAAAAAAAUUGUUGCCACUGAAGAAGACUUUACCUGAUUAUUCCUAUUUGAAGGUUAAAAGUGCCAAUCCUAUGGACGAUGA
rnacentral:misc_RNA from 1 species